rnacentral:rRNA from 1 species
UAACGCAUUAAGCAUUCCGCCUGGGGAGUACGACCGCAAGGUUGAAACUCAAAGGAAUUGACGGGGGCCCGCACAAGCGGUGGAGCAUGUGGUUUAAUUCGAAGCAACGCGAAGAACCUUACCAGGUCUUGACAUCUUUUGAUCACCUGAGAGAUCAGGUUUCCCCUUCGGGGGCAAAAUGACAGGUGGUGCAUGGUUGUCGUCAGCUCGUGUCGUGAGAUGUUGGGUUAAGUCCCGCAACGAGCGCAACCCUUAUGACUAGUUGCCAGCAUUUAGUUGGGCACUCUAGUAAGACUGCCGGUGACAAACCGGAGGAAGGUGGGGAUGACGUCAAAUCAUCAUGCCCCUUAUGACCUGGGCUACACACGUGCUACAAUGGAUGGUACAACGAGUUGCGAGACCGCGAGGUCAAGCUAAUCUCUUAAAGCCAUUCUCAGUUCGGACUGUAGGCUGCAACUCGCCUACACGAAGUCGGAAUCGCUAGUAAUCGCGGAU